CGGGUUUGGGACUUUAUGGAGGCCCGGAAUAUAGCUCAGUUCCCCCGCCCCGUUCACCACCGCAUUCCCAAUUUCGUCGGCGCCCACAUUGCUGCUCAAAAAGUAUUCGCUUCAAUUUGAAUUCUAUUAGUAUAAUUUUUCAUUUUCCUCCCCCCGCUAAAAAGAAAAGAAAAAGAAAGUUAUAAUUUUUGAUGUAUUUCUUCUCGACUGUGGCAGUUGAGUGAGUUGCAGGUGUUUAAGGAGGCGAAAUGCGUGAAAGUUAAUCCGGAUACGCCCCAAAAACAAGUCAGAUUCCUCACACUUAAUGGUAGUAUAGCAGCUGCUGCUUAUGCGUAAAGCGCUUUGCAUUUAUUUCUGCGUUUUGUUUCGUAUAUAUAGAAUAUGAUGUUUGGCUAAUAACUUUGGAGGAGUGGACGUCGUUCCCCUGGAUGCGAAUCUUUGAGACUCGCGUAGAACACGCCAAGUGUCGUAAUAUUUUAUAAAGGACUCGUGCUCGGAUUGAUAUAUUUGUUGCGCCGCCAUAGUGAUUUGGUCAUCACUCAUGCCGCUCCCCCAAUUUGAACGGCCUUUUUUCGUAUAUUGCCCACAUACCUUUACGUUCUUUUUAACUCAUUCCAAUGCGACUUGAUUUGCUUCAUGUAGCGUGGAAUUGUGUUGGGAGACCGUUGGUAGUUGUAUUUUCUUGUAAUUUCCCCUAAUAGACGAGAGCCUUUUGAUCGGCUCCCUUGGUGGCAUUCAGCGUUGCCUCGGCCCACAGGGUGUAUAUGAGCUUCGUUUUCCCCGGAGUGUAGGGUGUAGCCGCAUUGCUUGGUCGACUUUGGCAUGGCGGGUUGUUCCACCAAUUUUCAAAUUCACACUCCAUUUUUUUAAAACAAAAAAGAGAGGAAAAGCUUGAAUGUAAGAUGAAGUAGAAGGAGAAGAUGAAUUUGAGAGUGGUGUAAAACAAAUGAGGGAGAAUGGGGUAUUUAUAGAAGAAAAUUAGGAAUAAGAAAAAAAAAUCAAUUUACCGUUGAGAGCCAAACGGCUUUUUCAAUUUUAACAAAAAAAUAAAUUCAAUUGCUCAAAAGAGCCUGCUGCCUCAAAUCUUCAGAUUUUAAUUUUUUUGUUUUUUUCUUUAAUUUUGACUGGGUAGUGGAGCGCACACGCCACAACCUCUCUCCUCACGCACCGAGUGUGCAACUCCGUGCCGCAUCUCGAGCCCCUCUGGCAUCAGUCUCUGCGGCUCGUGCUCGCUCCACAAGCUGCACUGUGGCUGCUCUAACAAAUCCUAGUAGGGUCAUUUUGGAGAAUUGAUUAUUGCAUAUAAGAUCAUGAAAAACUAAAAUGGGGUUAAUGUUCUUUUAUUUUUUGGACCUUAUUUUUAGAUCUAAUAAACUACUUAGGAACUAUUUUGCCAACUAAGUACUUUUUAAGAGACUAUAAGCUUCUAAACAUCUUAUAAGUUGUUUUAAGAAGCUUAUAAGCUCAGCUAUGAUGUGGUUGCAUUGAAGAAUUGGAGCAUAAGCUCAGCUAUGAUGUGGUUGCAUUGAAGAAUUGGAGCAUAUGAUUAUCACCUAGCUCUCUAGUGUCUCAAUCUCUGUUUUUUCCUUGUAACUGCACUUUAAAGCUUCCUAUGUUCUUUGCCAUGCUGCAUCAACUGUUCCAGUUUCACUAUCUAAAAGUUUUAGUUUCUAUGGUUGCGAAUUUUAGUUAAUUGUGUACAUUUGAAAUAUCCUAGGCAUAAAUGUUAUGUUCUUGAAGCUCUUUUGAGUAUCAAAUUAUGAAGAUAUUCUACAUUUAGGAUUAAUCUCUUAGGUUACAUUUUGUUAACAGUAGGCAGGCUAUAAUCAGAGCUGCAGUAUGCCUGAAAUAUUAAUCUAGUAUGGAGGGUUUGGGCUUAGCAUUUUGACACUUGUGUCCACUGGCAGGUGGGAAAAAGCUUUUGACUCCACAGCCACG
rnacentral:lncRNA from 1 species